GGGUGUAUGCCUGGAAGAGCCGCAGUGAAAAGGCCCAAACGACUGUUUAUCAAAAACACAGGUCUCUGCCAAGCCGCAAGGCGAUGUAUAGGGGCUGACACCUGCCCGGUGCUGGAAGGUUAAGAGGAGGGGUUAUCCCUUACGGGAGAAGCUCUGAAUUGAAGCCCCAGUAAACGGCGGCCGUAACUAUAACGGUCCUAAGGUAGCGAAAUUCCUUGUCGGGUAAGUUCCGACCCGCACGAAAGGUGCAACGAUUUGGGCACUGUCUCAACGAGAGACCCGGUGAAAUUAUAUUACCUGUGAAGAUGCAGGUUACCCGCGACAGGACGGAAAGACCCCAUGGAGCUUUACUGUAGCUUGAUAUUGGAUUUUGGUACAGCUUGUACAGGAUAGGUAGGAGCCUUGGAAGCCGGAGCGCCAGCUUCGGUGGAGGCAUCGGUGGGAUACUACCCUGGCUGUACUGACAUUCUAACCCAGGACCGUGAUCCGGUUCGGGGACAGUGUCAGGUGGGCAGUUUGACUGGGGCGGUCGCCUCCUAAAAAGUAACGGAGGCGCCCAAAGGUUCCCUCAGAAUGGUUGGAAAUCAUUCGUAGAGUGCAAAGGCAUAAGGGAGCUUGACUGCGAGACAUACAGGUCGAGCAGGGACGAAAGUCGGGCUUAGUGAUCCGGCGGCACCGCAUGGAAGGGCCGUCGCUCAACGGAUAAAAGCUACCCUGGGGAUAACAGGCUUAUCUCCCCCAAGAGUCCACAUCGACGGGGAGGUUUGGCACCUCGAUGUCGGCUCAUCGCAUCCUGGGGCUGAAGUAGGUCCCAAGGGUUGGGCUGUUCGCCCAUUAAAGCGGUACGCGAGCUGGGUUCAGAACGUCGUGAGACAGUUCGGUCCCUAUCCGUCGUGGGCGUAGGAAAUUUGAGAGGAGCUGUCCUUAGUACGAGAGGACCGGGAUGGACACACCGCUGGUGUACCAGUUGUUCUGCCAAGAGCAUAGCUGGGUAGCUACGUGUGGAAGGGAUAAGUGCUGAAAGCAUCUAAGCAUGAAGCCCCCCUCAAGAUGAGAUUUCCCAUUACGUUAAGUAAGUAAGAUCCCUCAGAGACGAUGAGGUUGAUAGGUCUCAUGUGGAAGCGUGGCAACGCGUGGAGCUGAGAGAUACUAAUCGAUCGAGGGCUUAUCCAA
rnacentral:rRNA from 1 species